rnacentral:lncRNA from 1 species
GCAGGCGUGAUCUGCUCCCUACAGGUUUUCAAACGCCAGUCUGUUCCCGCCAGUUUUUUUCUUCUUGUAUUUUGGGUAGGGUUGGGUUGGUUUCGCUAGAAACUGCGGGAUGUUUCAGAUCCUGUGGCUUAGAAGCAGCAACAGACAGAAUGGAAGCUGGUAUGAUUGACAGCUACUUGCAGCUGACUUUGGAUCAGCAGAGGACCAGCAGAGGGAGCACUUCUCUCCAGCGAUGUUCUGAGUCUAGGCCAGGCGGUAGGAAAAUUCGCUUGGACUGAGGAAUAGUAGUCUUCAAAUGAAUGGGCUUUCUGAUCACAAAAUAUCAAACGACAAACUUAUCUAAUGUGUAAAGAAAUGAGUAAGAAAAUUAAAAACCAACACAAACCUAAC